UGGUUGCUUCCUGGGACUGCAUCCCUUAA
rnacentral:piRNA from 1 species